UACAGAGGGUGCAAGCGUUGUUCGGAAUUAUUGGGCGUAAAGGGCGCGUAGGCGGUUCGGCAAGUCUCUAGUGAAAUCUCUGGGCUCAACUCAGAGUCUGCUGGGGAAACUGCCGGGCUUGAGUGUGGGAGAGGAGAGUGGAAUUCCCGGUGUAGCGGUGAAAUGCGUAGAUAUCGGGGAGGAACACCGGUGGCGAAGGCGGCUUCCUGGACCGACACUGACGCUGAGGCGCGAAAGCUAGGGGAGCAAACGGG
rnacentral:rRNA from 1 species